GCUUUUUAUUUAGACGUUAGUAAAGUAGCUUGCUUGAUACGCAUUAGUACAAAAAUCCAAAGAAUUGAGAAAAUCACGAGCCAAGCAAAAACAGUAUAAGAACGAUUAACUUGUUUAACCUCUAAUGUUCUUUUAAAAAUAAAAAAAAAACACAGAUGUUUCGUUAAUUUUUUGAUACUUAGAUUAUGCCCUCAUGUGUUUCAUAAAUAGCAUUCCUUGCUUUUCGUUUUUUUCUGUUUUUUUUCUUUUUCUUUCAGACAAUUUAUAAAAAAAAUUCUUUGCAUGUACCUAAAUAUAGUUUGCAUUCUCAUUUAGGUUGAUCAAGUUGGUUAAUAACCACGUGGCUUCGAAUAUCUGUCAUGUUCAGGAGCCACAUGUCUCUCCAUUGUUACAGCGAUUUGGUUGAUCUUUACAUGGCUUACGCAUACGAAGAUGCUUCCUGCAUUUUUUUUUUAUUUCAAAUCGUUCAUUCACUCUGCACUAGCGAAAAUCUUCAUUCAUAUGCAAACUUGUCACUCUUUUAUAUUAACAAAAUAUAAACUUAAGCUUGAAUACAACUGUUAGCUUUGAACGCUACACCUACCCUAGUACCCUAGUAGCUUGAUAACCAUAGCGAAGAUCCGUGGCCUAUUGUCGAUCUCUGGGAAACUGUCACUGGAUCAAAAGCAUCAUGUUUCUUCGCUCGGUAAGAAAACUAUACUCCAGAUUUAUGAGAAAGGCACAAAAAGCAUCAAAACCUAUGCCAAUGCAAGUCUCACAAAACCAAAUUAUCCACCCCUAAAGGUGGAAUUGUUCGUUGUUCGUGAUGCGAUUAUUGCUUUAUCAGGAUGAUUGUACUUAAUCUCAAUCAGAUCACCCCAAGGUUAGUCGGCUUUGUCAAAGGUCUUACCUUUUAUUGAAAUCCAUAUCCUCCUGUAACAAUAGGGGAUUCACUAUUCAUACCUAGUUCACCCAUUUUUCUCAUUUCACUUCUUAAAGCAAAUAACGUAUAAUAACAGUAUUUGUUUACUGAUGAGAUUAACAUUACCCGAUGAAGAAAACCAACUAUGGUACAGCAAUAGGUAGUUAAGAAAAUACAUGAGAUCGUAAAUACCAAAUGUUUGCCAAUUAUGAGCGUGAAUUAGCAUUAGUUUUUUUUUUUCUUAAUUCAUCUGUGUUUCAAUAAUACGAAUUAGAU